rnacentral:rRNA from 1 species
UACGAAGGGGGCUAGCGUUGCUCGGAAUCACUGGGCGUAAAGCGCACGGUAGGCGGAUCUUUAAGUCAGGGGUGAAAUCCUGGAGCUCAACUCCAGAACUGCCUUUGAUACUGGAGAUCUCGAGUCCGGGAGAGGUGAGUGGAACUCCGAGUGUAGAGGUGAAAUUCGUAGAUAUUCGGAAGAACACCAGUGGCGGAAGGCGGACUCGACUGGCCCGGUA